UUCCUCCUCUGAUGAACCGGUCGCGCCAGUUCCCGAGCCGAGGGUAGCACUCCCACCGGCACAAGCAGAAGAAAUCCGUCUCAAAGAGGUAAGAGACUUGUCACCCGACUCGGCCGAUUUCCCAUUACCGUCGGCUAAUCUGUAUUUAUUAUUUUUAUUCUUUCACAAGAAACAAGAUACCCCCGACAACAGUCUUUUCUCUUUUGUGGUCACACUUUCUGAUGAUGAAGAGGUUGCUUCACGUCAAG
rnacentral:lncRNA from 1 species